ACAGUACUCCCUCCGUUCAAAAAUACUUGUCAUCAAAAUGGAUAAAAAGAUAUCUAUCUAGAACUAAAAUACAUCUAGAUACAUCCCCUUUUAUCCAUUUUGAUGACAAGUAUUUCCGGACGGAGGGAGUAUUAC
rnacentral:pre_miRNA from 1 species